rnacentral:rRNA from 1 species
UUGGAGGGCAAGUCUGGUGCCAGCAGCCGCGGUAAUUCCAGCUCCAAUAGCGUAUAUUAAAGUUGUUGCAGUUAAAAAGCUCGUAGUUGAAUUUCGGGAUCAGAUUGUCGGUCGUGCCUCGGUACGCACUGGCAUUAUUGGUUCCUACCUUCUGAAGAACCGCGAUGUCAUUAAUUUGGUGUCGUGGGGAAUCAGGACUGUUACUUUGAAAAAAUUAGAGUGUUUAAAGCAGGCGCACGCUUGAAUACAUUAGCAUGGAAUAAUGAAAUAGGACGUUUGAUUCUAUUUUGUUGGUUUCUAGGAUCGACGUAAUGAUUAAUAGGGAUAGUUGGGGGCAUUAGUAUUCAAUUGUCAGAGGUGAAAUUCUUGGAUUUAUUGAAGACUAACUACUGCGAAAGCAUUUGCCAAGGAUGUUUUCAUUAAUCAAGAACGAAAGUUAGGGGAUCGAAGACGAUCAGAUACCGUCGUAGUCUUAACCAUAAACUAUGCCGACUAGGAAUCGGAUGAUGUUAAUUUUUUAAUGACUCAUUCGGCGCCUUACGGGAAAC